GACUGGGGUCUCUGACAAGCACAAUUUACAUUGAGCUCGCCCUGCGCUGCUAUUUACUUUGAAACCUGAUUAGUAUGGGCCGUCUAUUGUCACAAACAGAGGAGGAAACCCUGGAUAGAAUAGCCGAAAUAAGGGUAAAAGCGAGGACAAAGCUUUGUGCACGUGAAAUAAACAAACGUGCUCGGCGAAAGGGACUGGCAUAGAAUUCCUCAAAGUUUUAAAUGAUACUGUGUUCCUGAUGAAGAUUUCAAACGGAGCAGCUGGUGCCUGUUUUGUAGAUUUAGGAAAGACCUUCCAGGAUCGGGAAGAGAGCUGGACGGAGAGAGAGAGAGAGAGAGGGGUGACAGUGAAUGAGAGCAGCGGGAAGAAGGCUAUAGCACGAAAACAGGAGAGAAAAAGAGAACGUGGACAGCAGGGCAUUAAAAGAAGCACCCAGCGACAACUAUUAGGCUAUAGUGGACGGGAAACAUCGGUACCUGAAUUUGGCUAACACCA